AUUGAUUUUUCCAAACGUGCAAAAAACAUUUCGUCUCCAUUAUCAAUCAAACCGAUUAGUGAAGUUAUUGUUGUUGUUUUUUUUUUUUCAGUAGAAAUUGGCGGAGCGUACGAGGAAACUUGGGGGACAAAUAGAGGAGCAGAGUAGGAAAUUUGGGGGAGGAAUAGAGGAGCAGAGGACGAAUCUUGGCGGAGGAUUAGCAGAGGUUAUUGAGAAAUCGAUGGUAUCCGCUCGACUUGUUGAUUGUCCGGAUUCACCGGAAGAGGAAGGAAUGGGGCUAAUACCCGAUAUGAUGUUUGCAGUCGGAGAGGAACCAGUUGGGGUUCGUGUACUGACUUACCAAUCUUCCGGCGCGUUGAAACGGAUUUUUACAGCUCUAGAUGCAGAGGAAAUUGCGGCUAUAAGAAGCACAUCGUUUGGCAAGCUGGUUGAUAUUGCAGAGAAACCGGUUUUCUCCGGGAGGUUUGCGCGAUGCCUAUUGUCACGGCAGCUGAAGACGAAAAAGAAGUACGAAGUGUGGUUCCGAUUUGCCGGCAAACCGGUUAGGUUCUCUUUGCGAGAAUUCGCAAUUGUAACUGGUUUGCCGUGCGGUAAGUUUCCCCCAAAGUCACGGAUGAAACUGAAGGAAACAAUAGCCGAGAAGCCGUAUUGGCCGUGUUUAUUUGGCAAAGUGGAGUCGGUGAGUGUAGCUGACGUCAUCAAAAUGCUCUACCGGAAAAUAGUGAAAGAUAGAGAAAUCCGGAUUAAGUAUGCUUGCUUGGCAGUUCUUGAAUAUGUCCUUCUCCCAACAAGCAGUAAUAUGAAGAUAACAAGAGAGCAUGCUGAAGCGAUUGGAGAUCUAAACGAGUUUUUGAGUUACCCGUGGGGAAGAGUUGCAUUUCAAAUGCUAAUUGGCAGUAUCAAAGAGAGAGAUGAGAUAGCUCUUUCACAAAAUACAAUCGCAAUUAAAGGAUUCGCUCUUUCUCUCCAGCUCGUUAUGGUUGCAGCGGUUCCAGCUCUGACCGAGGUUGUUCAAGAGAUUCGUUCGUCCUCGGAGUCCGAUAGCGAGGACAUUGAGCGGACCGGGCAUGAGUUAUACAGCAAGAAGCAGACGCUAAAUCCUGCGCACGCUCGAAAUGUUGACAAGACAAACGAUGCGUCCGUUUAUUCCGUCCUAGUAGAUUCCCCAACACGUCCAAUUGAGGCUACUAGUUGCGAAUGGUCGGAUGAAGAGGAGGACACGAAAGUUGCCAACCUGGUUACACGGAUCAGAAGAAAGCAGGACUUUACAACGGCUUCAUUUCGGGGUGGGGUUAGAAUGGGUGAUGUUGAGCGUAUGCGACAGGCGUCGACAGGUAAAAUGAAGGGCAGAAAAGCGAAAAAGGUGUUGCACUAUAUGCAACAGCCGGAUCCGUGUAAUGUUGCUGAUAUUGUAAUCGAGAAAAUAAGUCCCAAGUUAGAACUUAUGGAUAGAAACAUUCAGUCUGCAUGUGCUUCUGUAGCUUCGGUUGAGGACACCGUAGUAGUGCAAGUAAAGGCUUUGUUUGAUACGUUGAAGAAGGAAAUGCUUAAGUGUGUAACGGAAAUGGUGUCUGCUUUGUGUAAGGAUUUUGUCGGGGUUCAUAAUGGAACACCUAAUAUGCAUCCAUCUGGGGUAAAUGAAGAAGCAUGACAGCCAAGCCUGACACCUUCUGCAGCUGAUGUGAAUCGGAUGUCUAUCGAGAACGUUUUAAACAACCUAAGUGAGUACUCUACACCUCCGCGAGUGAAUGCUAGGUUCCAGGAGGCAAAUUUUGCUAUCUACAAUCGAGAUACUGCAGGUUCGGGCUUUGUUUGCGGACUACAGGUAGAUGAAAAUUGUGCGCAAUCUGCAAACAGUGGCAAUCGGUCCCGACAAAAUUCUUUUUCGCGAAAAU